rnacentral:rRNA from 1 species
CAAUAGCGUAUACUAAUGUUGUUGCAGUUAAAAAGCUCGUAGUUGAACUUCUGGUAGGAGUGUCCCGGCCUUUUUGUUUUUACAAAUUGUAUGCUGCGUGACAUCUCUGGCCAUCCUUCUUCUUUGUUUAAAGAAGAUCUUUCACUGUAAAAAAAUUAGGGUGUUCAAAGCAAAAGUUUCUUUGGAAUAUAUUAGUAUGGGAUGAUAAGAUAGGCUCUAGAUGCUAUUUUGUUGGUUUGCACAUUUAGAGAAUGAUUAACAGGGACAGUUGGGGGUAUUCGUAUUUACAUGUCAGAGGUGAAAUUCUUGGAUUUUGGAAAGACGAACUACUGCGAAAGCAUUUACCAAGGAUGUUUUCAUUAA